UUUUUUAAAAAUACUUGUGACCCGUCAGUUUGAACGCAGCACAUGCCCCACAAAUCUCGGAUUGGAGCCUUGUUAGUGCUUGGAUGGGAGACCUUCCGAGAAGGCUGGGUGUUGUAGAUU
rnacentral:rRNA from 1 species